rnacentral:misc_RNA from 1 species
CUGCUCGACGACGCCCUCCCUACCCUAGCUCUUUCAGUCGUCCUCCCCACCUCUCUCCCAUGGUCGAAGCACCAGCCCCGUCAUUGGUCAAGCUCGCCCAGCUCGCCUUCUGUCCCCAACCAUGGAUGUCGGCCGCCCCUUGCUCCCAUCCAUGGCUGCCUCCCUGGUUCGCUGGUCUGCGUGCCCCCUCCCUUCAUUGCCCUCGUCUUCUCCCUCUGCUCGCUCAGUCUCCAGCUCCCUCCUCUCCCCCGAGUUCCCUGGUCGCCACGCGCCCUGCUUGGCUUUUCAAGCUCGCCGGCGCUCCUCUACAGGUCGUGUCCACCGCUUCCAGUUGCCGCUGAUCUCUGGUGCUCGCCCCUGGCUCGGAUCCGGUGCUCGGUGCCCAGCCUGCUCGCCGCGGAUGCGGGCCGCCGCGCUGCCAGGCUGCUCUCUCUGCUCGGCCUCGAUCUCUCGCGCGCGUCCCUGCUCGAUGCCCAGCGCUCCUUCCUGCUCCGCGCCAUGGCGUCUCCCAGUCCCAGCUGCGAGCUCCGCUCGGUCGCUCCUCCCUGCUCGCCCCUGCGCUCAUCCAACUCCACUACGCCGUGUCUCUCUGUCGAGUCGCAUCCGCAGUUCGCCGCCAGCGUCCGUCCGCCGGUGGUGCUCGUUCCCUUGACGUCGAACUGCGCCCCAUGUCGGCUUCUCCAGUCCGCCCUGGCUUGGCAUUUGGACACCGGGUCUGCCCUGCUCGCGUUCCGGGUUGGACCGGACAUCGCUGUUUGCCUGGUCACAUGUGUUCAUCGCGCCUGA